rnacentral:lncRNA from 1 species
CAGGCAAUGCCAGUGUCGUGGGAUGCGUGCUCCCCAGGAAAUGGGCUAGGCAUGUGGCACUGGGGGCACAGAGGGACCAUCUAAUUCAAACAGGAAAAGGGGAGGCUUCUGGAAGAUGUGGACAAGAACCCAGGCUGUACGGGGAGCUCAGGAGAGCUGCCAGGUAAAGGAUGCUGGGUCUGGGACGGCUCCACUGGAACCUGAGAUGACCUGAGGGUGUCCCAGUGAUAUAACAUAUGAGGAAAGCAGAAACAACUAAGAAAUAGACUCUGAAUGUGGCAGAUUCUAGAACUGAGAGGCGGAAGAGGAGCAGAUCUUCACUUUCCACACCUCAAGGUACUCAGCCAAUCACCUGUUCAUGCCUGAGAUUGUGAAUCCAAUAGGAAAGUACAAGGACAUGGAGAUUGUCAGAGCUGUUGUAUGAUGGUGGCAGCAGAGUCAAGAGUCCAGCGGAGAGGCAGCAAGCAUCCCAAGGAUCCCAUGACUGAGAACCAGCUUCUGUGGUUUAGAAGCAAGGCGCCAACUGGUAUGAGAAGCACAGACAGAUGGUGCCCUGGGAACACUGGCUGUCACGUGCUGGAGGAGGUUCCUCAGCAAGUCACCUUCCCUCCAUGGGCCUCUGUUGGAAAGAAGGCAUCAAGAUCAUUCCAGCUAUGAUUCCUGAGCUUUUAAUAUAUUCUUUCUGAUGAUUAAGAAAUAUAUCUGUCGAGCAUGGCAGCUUACGCCUGUAAUCCUAGCACUUUGUGAGGCCGAGGCGGGUGGAUCAUGAGGUCAGGAGUUCAAGACCAGCCUGACCAACAUGGUGAAACCUCGUGUCUACUAAAAAUACAAAAAUUAGCCGGGUGUUGUGGUGUGUGCUUGUAAUCCCAGCUACUCGGGAGGCUGAGGCAGGAGAAACACUUGAACCCGGGAGGCGGAGGUUGCAGUGAGCUGACAUCACGCCACUGCCCUCCAGCCUGGGUAACAGAGUGAGACUCCAUCUCAAAGAAAAAAAGAGAUAUAUCUGCAUGUGACAUGGAAAGAGGCUCAGAAUAUCAGACAUUUUACUACAGAUCUUGAAAACAGCUCUCCAAAACUAACUCCAGAUCCACCCUGGGGUUCUCAACUCCACAUGGUUUUCUAAAAUUGAGACCAAGACUAAGAUGAAGAGCUAUGCCUCGCCCUGAUGCUGCCAGGACUACUGUUCCCAUGACUACCUUGAGGUGCAGGCUGAGACCCUGGGUGUCUGUGGUGGCAGAGUACAGCAGAGGAGUUGGAGUCAAAGCAGUUUGGAUCCUCAUCCCAGCUGGGCCUCCUGAUGUUGGAGGGCCCUGGACAAAGGGUUUUCAUUUGCUGGGUCUCAGUUCUCCACAUGGACAACAAUGCACUGUAUGAGUUUUAAGGUUCUUUUCAGCUCUGACUCUCUGUGAGUCUGAAUCCAGUAGGAGCUAUUAUUUCCUUGAUUCCUCCUUACUGUUUUGUUCCCUUCUUCUCUGGUUUCUGUAUUAAAACUUUAUAUGUUUAUGAAUGGAUAAUCAAAAUGUGGUAUAUCCAUAUCAUGGAAUAUUAUACAGCCAUGAAAAGGAAUGAAGUACUGAUGCAUGCUACAACAUGGAUGAACCUUAAAAACACUAGGCUAAGUGAAAGAAGCCAGUCUCCAAAGACCAUAUGUGGUAUGAUUUCAUUGAUAUGAAAUGCUCAGAAUAGGCAGAUUUGUAGUGACAGAAAGUACAUUAGUGGCUGCCUAGGGCUAGGAAGAGAUGAGGAGUGACUCUCAAUGAGUACAGGAUUUCUUUUGGAAGUGAUGAAAAUGUUCAAAAAUUGAUUGCAGUGAUGGCUGUACAACUCUGUGAAUAUAUGAAAAACCCUUGAAUUAUACAAUUGAAAUUGGUGAAUUGUAUGGUAUAUGAAUUGUAUCUGAAUAAAGCUGUUAAAAAAACGGGGAAGAAGUUUAAGAGAAAUCCAAUAUAUUUUAAAGCUCUGCUCAUGGCAUUGGAGGUUAGCCUUGAAAAUUAAAUCCACUCACAGUCCAACAAUUCUAUGUUGUUUGGGUUUUUAAAUUUUUCCCUAUUAUUAAAUUGAUUCAUUUGAAUGUAACUACUUUAAAAUCACCCCUUCUCCGAAGGUCUAAUUAGCAGUCUAAUGGGAUCAGAAAAAGGAAAAAUGGGAUCUGACAAGUUUCUAUGCUUGAUUCCAGAGAGUUCAUUGAGGUAGUUUCUCUUUUCUCUAGACUCUUUUGUUAGAUUCUACUGGAAAUCCUAUCUGAAGAAUUAUUAUAGAACAGUGCAGCUCAUACUUUAAUGUGCACACAAAUAACGUGGAGAUCUUGUUAAAAUACAGAUUCUAACUUAGGAGGUCUGGGGUGGGGCCUUGGAGUCUUGAACCUCUGACAAGCUCCCCAUCGAUGCUGAUGCUGCUGGCCCAUGGACCACACUGCAAGCUGCCAGGCUCCAGAACACUGUCUAAUAUGACCACUGAGCACUUGCAAUGUGGCUAGUCUGAAUAGGGAUGUAAUGUAGGUGAAUGAAUGAGAGAAUAUAAGUGAUGUCAGUGUAAAAUAUAUCAUAGUUUUCAAAGACUUAGUAAAAAAAAAGAACAUGAAAUAAUUUUUAUAUUAGUUGGACAUUGGCAUAAUAAUAUUCUGCCCUGGGCGUGGUGACUCACGCCUGUAAUCCCAGAACUUUGGGUGGCUGAAGCAGGCAGAUCACUUGAGACCAGGAGUUAGAGACCAGCCUGGCCAACAUGGCAAAACCGUGUCUCUACUAAAAACACAAAAAUUAGCUGGGCAUGGUGGUGCACACUUGUAAUGUCAGCUACUCGGGUGGCUGAGGCACGAGAAUCACUUGAACCCAGGAGGUGGAGAUUGCAGUGAGCUGAGAUCGUGCCACUGCACUCAAGCCUGGGCAAGAGAGCAAGACUCUGCCUCAAUAAUAAUAAUAAAAAUAUUCUGGGCACAUUAGAUUACAUAAAAUGUAUUAUUUUUAAAAUUACAAAUUUUAUUUGUGAAAGAGACUGGUAGCACCCCUCUCUCAAUUAUUCAACUCCCCUUUUUCCUUAAUAACAGAUUUCCAGCUGGGCAAAUGGUAGCCACAUGGAAUAAAGACUAUAUUCCCCAGCUUCCCUUCCAGCUAGGUGAGACCAUGUGAUAUAGUUUGGACAUUUACCCCAGCCCAAAUCUCCUGUUGAAUUGUAAUCCCCAUUGCUGGAAAUGAGGCCUGGUGGAAUGUGUUUGGACCACGGGGGCAGAUCCCUCAUGGCUUUUGGUGCUGUCUCCGUGAUAGCGAGUUCUCACGAGAUCUGGUCAUUUAAAAUCAUGUGCUCCCCCUCACCCCGCCCACUCUCUCUCUCUUGCUCCUGUUUUCUCCAUGUGAAGUGCCUGCUCCAGCUCUGCCUUCUGCCAUGACUCAAUGCAAGAACAGCCUAAUAAGCUGUGUGACUAAUCACUGCAUGAAACGGAGGGAGAGAGUUGUGCAGCUUCCAAGAACCUUCCUUAAGAGAUUAUGUCAGUUCACCCCUUGCCUUCUUCUUCUUCAUUCCUUCCUCCAUCCUGCUGACUAGAAUGAAGAGAUGUUGUCAUCUUGGACCAUGAGGUCAAGGCCAUGAGUGGACCAACAGGAUGUAAAUGUCAUGAGGGCAGGGAUUUUGUCUGUUCCCCAUUCCCCAGCUGCUGUGACCCCAAUGCCUAGUCGGUGCUAAAUAAAUAUUUGCUAAGUGAAUGAAUGAACGAACAAGCCUGGGAGUCCGAUACUGGGGAGGCAAAGUGAAUGAAUGAAUGAACAAGCCUGGGAGUCCGAUACUGGGGAGGCAAUGUCAGCCCCAGACCACCCACCUGGACUUUUACAUGAGUGAGAACCAAACUUCUACCUUGUUUAAACCAACCCUAAUCCUAUCAAUACAAUUUUUAAAAGUCCUAUCAUUGUUUUAGGCCAUAUAAAGUCUACCUAAAAUGUUAAGCUAAACCUCGGUAAAUUGAAUCACAUUUCCAAUGCAUUGUGAUAUUCAUUUUUUAAUGUUGUGGAUUAUUUUACAGAGCCAAAAUCCAUCCACUUGUAUGUUUAAUAAGUUUAGGUUUUAGUAAUUUGGGUUUCUAAAACCAAAAUCCACUUCCAAGAGUACUUUCUUACUAACAAUGCAAAGCACUGUAAAAAUUCAAUCCAGCAAUGAUUUUCUUAACAGCCCUAGAAUGUAAUAUAAGUGUUAUUA